rnacentral:lncRNA from 1 species
GUUUGUGCUAGCAGCCCCUAAAAAAUAAUACUGAAGACGGAGGUGAAAGGACAUCUGUUAAGUGAAGGUUCCAAGGAUCUGUGCUGCUGCAGUGUCAUUCCCACUUGUCCUGUUUUUCACCUUGUGCUUUUCUUUAAGUGAAAGCAUUGAAAACUUGGAAGGAGUUGCAAAACCUACCCCUCCCUCUGCCACAAAUACAAUACAGAUUUUUUCCCAAGAAAAUACAAUACAGGAGAUUUCAGUCUUAAGGUGAACUUGAUUGCAGGCUUCUGACAACCUUUUCAAGGACACAACCCAUGAGACAGAAGGCUAAAUUUGGAUUUGAUCCAUGGCUGGCCAGUAGCUUUCUGUUGAACACAGUCUGCUGGAGGCAACCCUGCCUCAAAAAGUCCCUACACUAACAGUCAGUGGGAGCUGUGAAAGAAAAAGAAGGGAAACACAGCUCAAGGCCCACUACUUACAGCACUGUCCUGAGCCUCCAUUGCUGACACCAUUCAGGACAGUCUCCUGGACUUUCUUUUGGGAGAAUAGCUGCUCUCCUUUGCCGUUCCUGGGCUGGCACUGCUCACCAGUCUCUGAGCAAGAAAUCCAAGCCAAACACCACGUCCAGUGGUUCCUGUCUGGAGAGGACAUGGGUCUUCCACAUUCAGCUGUACUGAAGAAGAUUAUAAUAAAAUAAAAAUGAAUACAAGAUUUUGUUGUUAUUAUCUUCAAUAUUUCUGUUUCUCCUGAGGGAAGAAGCUGAAAGCUGUAAGUGAAUGAUGCCCUGCCAGACAUGACUCCUGAUUGCUGUGACAGGUGAUUUGGAAUGGAAAGGAUGGUAAGAUGGCAGAGAAGCUGAAGUACACAUAUCCAUUGUGUUCUUUCUGUGGAAGACACGAUGCUCAAGAAAUGAUGCAAUGAUGCAAAUCAUGUUUCCAAGGAAAAAGCAGAAAAUCAAAGCAUUCUCAUAGUAACUGUGGUGACAUUAUGGCAUUCUGGAGCCAGGAUAAUGCAGGAAUGGGGGACAGGGCAUGUGAAAUAUUGCCAGUGCACAGCUAUAGCCUCUAGGUUCUAGGGAGCGUGGACCAGCUCCUGUCUACAUGUGGGCCCCUUGCCAUGUGGCAUACAGGGCAAAGGGAGCAUUUUCCUUGUGUGGGAAAUCACAAAGGUGCUGCCCUGUAGACUUCUGGUAAGCCCAGUCCUCCCCUAUUCCAGCUAUGAGGUCUUUAAAGAAUGUGAUUCUUGGAUCUUUAGUCCAUCAGAAAAAUUAUGUGUCUGCAGCCCAGUGAGAUCUGCGUGGGAAAAGCAGAAUUCUUCUCACCUAAUUUAUGAUGUCUCUGCCUCUGACGUAGAUAAUCUGCAUCUGUUCCACUCACUGUAGACUCCCUUGGAGUCAAUGAGGAGGAAUAAACACUUUUAGGACAUGAAUCA